UUACGACUACAUAUCAGGCAUAUCAAUAAGCGGAGGAAAAGAAACUAACUAGGAUUCCCUCAGUAACGGCGAGUGAAGCGGGAAGAGCUCAAAUUUGAAAUCUUCAAGGUUUUACCUUGACGAAUUGUAGUUUAAAGAAGUGUUUUCUGUUGAAGUUUUCGGUAAAAGUUCUUUGGAAUAGGACAUCAUAGAGGGUGAGAAUCCCGUAUUUGACCAGUUACUUUCCAGCUGUUGUGAUACACUUUCAAAGAGUCGGAUUGUUUGGGAAUGCAGUCCAAAAUGGGUGGUAAAUUUCAUCUAAAGCUAAAUAUUGGCGAGAGACCGAUAGCGAACAAGUACCGUGAGGGAAAGAUGAAAAGAACUUUGAAAAGAGAGUUAAACAGUACGUGAAAUUGUCAAAAGGGAAGCGUUUGACACCAGUGUUGUUUUCUCGAAAAUCAAUUAAAAAGAGUUGGAUUUUGUAUUGUUAAGACCUUAUCAGCUUACUGUACUUUUUUCUUAUUCUUUUUAAUGCACUUUUCGUUUAACAAGUCAACAUCAAUUUCUUUUGUUGUAAAAGAGUCAUUGGAAGGUGGCUUUCACUUCGGUGAAAGUGUUUAUAGCCUUUGGCUUCUGCAAUCGGAGAGAUUGAGGUCUGCAGCGUAGAUCCUUCGGGGUUAGAUACGUAGAUGCUAAGUUAUAGUUUUUCAUAGACAACUUGUUGACUAUGAUUAAUCAUGUAGCUUACUCGUUUGCGCUAUUUUACCUACGCUUAGGAUGUUGAAUCUGUGCGAGACUAC
rnacentral:rRNA from 1 species